GAUGAAGAACGCAGCGAAAUGCGAUAAGUAAUGUGAAUUGCAGAAUUCAGUGAAUCAUCGAAUCUUUGAACGCACCUUGCACCCUUUGGCAUUCCGAAGGGUAUGCUCGUUUGAGUGUCAUUGUACUCUCACACUCUCCGAUCCUAUGGAUUCGGGGAGCGGUGGACUUGGGUGUUGCUGCCUUUCCCUGUGGCUCACCUCAAAUGCGUCAGUACACCUCUUGGUUGGACAUAGUACGGCGUGAUAAGUGUCUUCGCCGGCACCUCGCAAGAGGGUGGCCGAUCGGGAGCUCUGCGCUUUCAAACCGUCUUCGGACAAUUUCUGACAUCUUGACCUCAAAUCGAGUAGGACUACCCGCUGAACUUAAGCAUAUCAAUAAGCGGAGGA
rnacentral:misc_RNA from 1 species